CCGUUUCAACGCGAACGUUACAUGUAGCUUCCGCAGGUUUCUCUCUACGAGAUUAUUGUUAAUCGCCAUCAAAUUUAAUACGCAGUUCGAAAUUCGUAAAAUAAUGCAAGUAAGUGAAAAUAGAUUUUAGAGGAGAAGAACGAGGAAGAAAUAUGACCGCUUUCUGCAGUAAACAUGAAAUAACAAUGCCAUCUUUACAAUGAAGUAUUAGUCUAACAAUGUGACCAUUAAUAAUGAACGUAAAUGGCGAAAAGGAAAAAUUGACAAAGAGCACGUAAUAUAAUUGUAUAUUCAGUUGGAUAUUAUUAUUUCUGUCUUGAAAUACAAAUAACAGAGUGCGCUUUUUAACGGAUAUCUUUCUCAUUUUAAAUGCAGAAGAAUGGAAAAGAAACAUACAACAAACGAACGUAAAAUCCAUAAUCAUCUUCGUCGUUUCCUCGACAGUUGUCGAAAGAGUAAAAAAUACGCACGGACAUCGACAUUGUCGACAUGGCGCAAAAAAAUUCACGCGAGUAUCUAAUAUUAACGCCUAGAGUGUGCGAGAUACAGUCCCGAUUCCACGGAUGCGCUCGCUAUUGCGCCAGCGUGAAAUGAAAUUUGUCUCGGUGUCGAUGGAGUUUCGAUAACUCGAUAAAAAUCCGGCGAGCGGAAAAGCAAUCGUUUCGUCGCGCGAAAUUCUCUUGUCCUGCUUUCCCCAUCUUCUCCCUCCCUCUCUCUCUCUCUCUCUCUCUCUCUUUCUUUCUCUUUCUCUUUUACUCGCUCUUUCGCCUCCAAUCUCCCCUCCUAAUCUUGACUGCGAGAGUCAAAAGUUAGUCAGAAGAUAGCUACAAGGUGGCGAAUCGAGGUGGAGAAACGAGCCGAAACGAGCGUCCGGAGAGCGAGUGGGCGGAGAUAUUUCCCGGGCAUGAUCCCCCUUUGAUCCGUUUUACUACAGUCGUUCCCUCGGAUUAAGCCGGAAUAAGAAAGAAUCCGCGAGUUUCGUCUUAACACAAUCUAUCCAUAGUCGUUGCUAUUGUACAGCGCGCAAUAAUUGAGUCUGACAGAGAUUCUGCGAGGAAAGAAAUCUUGUGCGAUUUCCUUUGAAUUUCUGCCUGAAAAAUUUGAUAAAAAAGAUUGGAUUUAAUAUUAUAGGUCAAUGUAAUCUAUUCUUUAUUGUCUUCUUCUUUUGCUUAUGUAAAAAAAAAUGAAUAAUAUGAUAAGAAAGAUAUAUUAGAGAAUAUAUAUUCUGACCUGUCAAUUAUAAACUAUUUUGAAAAUUGUUCAAUCUUUUUGCAUGCCAUUUAAUUCUAGUAAAGAAACAUAAACUUUUCAACAAUUUUUAAAAGAGAUAUUAUAUAUAAAUUUUUUUUUCUACCAUGACUUUUUAUUAAUCUAUAACAAUUUGCAAUUGCAUAGAUUUUGAUAGAUAUUCAUACAUUUUCAAUGAUAGACUUUUGAAAGAAUUCAGUUUUCGUCCAGGCGUCAUUGUCGUGAAAGGAAAGACAAUUCGCGUUGAUUAAAACGGAAUACGAACGGGGUCGCGUCUCGUGAUAAAUCUAUCGUCGAAUUCAUAAAGCAUCGUUACGUCGUUUCCGUUAGAUGGAAGUGCGAACUGCUCUCUUGCGUACACGCGGCUAAAAUAGUUUGUUUUUUCAGGAAAGAUGCCUUUUUUCGGGACAGCGAGAAAAAAAAACACGUCGAUUGCCGAGAGGGAUUACGCGACGACGAGGAUCGCUUGAAAACGAUUAAUCAUCGACGAUGGAUGCUGUAUUAUGUGGGACGGUACUACAUCGACUCAUCGAUGGUCCCUGAUGUAGCACUGCUUAUGCCGGAUUAUGAUCGAGGAUUUGCAGCCUCUACUAGCAUAUGUUGUACAUUUUUUACGCUCGAAAUAAACAAUAUAAUGCAGUUUUGCUGUGGACAGGACAGUUCGCAUAAGCAGAGACUCCGGGUCGCCAUUUUGCCGACGAUAAAAUAUCCUGGAUGCCCGGGGGUCGCUUCUUAUCUUUCCUAUUAUCGAUAGCUGGCCGAGGACCAAUAUGGCCACGGCAGCGGUUACCAUGGCUACGUUCGAUAUCUCGUUUCGGGACGGGGGCCCCAUCAUCCGCGCUAUUAUCGCGCUUCGCCGUAAAUAAGGAGAAGGCACUCCCUCAUCUCCGGAGGAACGGCACCGAGGGCUUGCAAAUUCUCUCUCGCUCUCGCGAUUGCGCGAGGGAGACGAAACGAUUCUUAUCUCGUGCGCGCUAUGGUUAUUUCAGCGAACGCUGAUAGAGAGAAAUUGUAUAUCAAGCAGAAGCCUUUCUAUUUGCCUUGACUAAAAGAUGAAAGAAGAAAGUUUUUAUUGUCACAUAAAUACAUCAACUAAUGGACAUUAUUAAGCAUUCCAUUAAAAUAUUUUUCAAUACUUCUCGAUAAAACGACACAUAAAAGAUUGUACGAGACAGACAAUUGAAUAAAAUCGAUAGAACGAGAGUAACCUUUCGAAAGAAAAUCCUCAAAAGAGCGGAACGAUUUCCAUCACUUUCUUCGUCACAGACGACAAACAUUGCGCUUCUACAUGUGAUUCUAAGAAUACGAGGGUGCAAGGACAAACCUAUCAUUUUGCGGAGACCAUCACGCCUCAGGAAAAUGUUUUUACUAGCUGACGACAUAAAGGUAAAGAAUUCGUGCUGCAUAUUUGUGAACCGGAAUAUGGGCGAACGGUAUUUGUGGGCAAACGACUUCAUUUCAUCGUGCCUUCAUAGAUCGUUAAGCUAGUGGCAUUCAUACGGAAUUAUCUCGUUCUAUGGAGGUAAACGAGUCGAGUUUCCCGGCUGAAUCACUCGUAGAGUUAAUUGUUUUCACCGCACCCUAUCCGUCCCUGUUUGUAUACACUCUCGCAUACAUAUAAUCAUUCAUGUAACCCCGUCGCGUCACCAGGGAUUCUCUGGAGAGAGAAACAUCUCCUUUCUAAUUUUAAAUAGUUUAUGUAAUUGUGCUCAAGGCAUGCAGCUCCAAUUUAGCUAUACAUGAUAUCAAAACUAUAAAAUACAUACGUCUCAAGUUAAAUUUCAUUCAAUUUUCCCAAAUGGCAUUGUGCAAUCAAAUUGCUAAUAAUUAGUAAUUUUAUACUCAUAAAAAUUGUUUGUAACAAGUUUUUCUCGAUAAAUCAUAGAGAAAUAGAGAGGAGAAGAUGAUAAGAGAGGAUAAAGAAUAUAAUUUAUUACAAUAUAGAUAUUGUAAUAUUUAUAUAUAAUAUUUUUAUUCAUCUCAUUGUUUUAUUUCUUCCUUAUUUUUUUACUUUUUUCGCACUUUCCACAGCUUACUAAGUUAUAGUUUUAUAUACAAAUAUUACUAUAUGCUAAACCCCUGACAAUAUUGGGCAAAAUGUACUCGCAGAUAGUGAAUAAUAACAUUUGCAGCCAUAUAAUUUUCACAGAAAACAUAUAAUUAAUAUAAAUAUUAUAUCACGAUACUCUUUGAAGAUCGACAUAAAGAUUUGACUGUACAGGCAUGCAGAUUCUGGAGAUAUACAUACACAAUCGAUCUGACACACGGGUUACUUGAAGCUUACAACUUAUAUGAUACAACACUUGUUAUAUUUUCGCAUUAGCAAUCAACAGUUCGAUUGUGUGUGUGUGUGUGUGUAUGUGUGUGUCAUUCUAACGCUUUUUUAUUAAACUAUAUAUUUCACAGACAUAUUAUAUAUUAUAUACAAAAUAUAAUAUAUUUAUAUACAAAUAUACAUAUCUAUAAUUGUUAUUUUUUAUUCACAUUACAUUUUGCGAAAUAGUAUUUUCUAAUAAGAAUCUAACUUUCGGCGUGAAAACUACAAUUAUUUCUUAUCACCUUUUCCUCCAUUCUUCCUAUAUUACACGUUCUUCUACUUCACUAUUACUACACUAAACCUAAGGUGCCGUAUCAUGUCUUGACAUUCAUUAAGUACAUUUUAAAUGUGAAAGAUACUUAUCACAUUUAAUUAUAUGUAGUGCCUUGAUUAGAAAUUAAAGAUUAAAGAAAUAGAACAUUAGAUAUAAUGUACAUAUAUUUGUCUAUUACUCGAUGGACAUUGUGGCACAAUUCCUCUGGCGAUACGAUUUAACAGAUUUUUUAAAAUUAUUUCUUUGCAAUAAAACAGUACACAAAAAGUUUUAAAGCGCGAUAGCUUUUCAUUUUCGAAUUACGAGAAUUAUUAUAUACAUGAAAAAUAAAAAAAU